CAGCCUGCCCCGGCCAAACCCGGACGACACUGGGCCAAUUGUGUGCCGGCCUAUGGGACUCCCAAUCAUGGCCGGUUGUGAUACAACCUGUCUCAUAGAUACCAAUGCGUUGUUCUUGACUUCCAUUGAAACAGAAAACAUUAGGGAGUGGGAUGUUUCACUUCCUCUUCCAUCUCUGCUUGAGACUCCAGAAUGCUGAGUCACAAUGACAAGCCAGAAAUACAGCCAGUGCAUAGCCUGAGUCGGUCCACAUAGAACACACUAGAGGUUAGGACAGGAAUAAGAGUGGGAAGGAGGGAGAGAAAUAGGAACAUCUCCCCCACACAUUCUGAAAUUGCAUUUUUGGCUGUUUAGUGUUUAUCCCCGAAAAAUAUACAUUUUAGCUAAAUACAUUUAAUUACAGUGAAAAUUCCUUGUCUUAGUUCAUUUAGGAUCACCACUUUAUUUUAAGAAUGUGAAAUGUCAUAGAUUUCAGCUUAUUCCCAGUGGGUCAGAAGUUUACACUCAGAAUUUUGUAGCAUUGCCUUUAAAUUGUUUAACUUGGGUCAAACGUUUCAGUUAGCCUUCUACAAGCUUCCCACAAUAAGUUGGGUGAAUUUUAUAGUAAGGCUGUCAUAUUUCCCAGUCCCUUAUAGGCAUAUGGCUCAAAAUAUGGAAGAAUGCAAAUAGACUCCUCAAGUAUUAAUGAGCAGUAGUGUGUCAUUUAAAUAUACUGAUAGCAAAUAUUGUCCAUCAACCUGCAACCCUGGGACAACCUGUGGGUCAUAACAGCUUGCUAGUUUAUUUGCGCACAGGUUCGAAUGACCUGACUUUUAAAAUGCUCAGGUUAAAGGCUACAGCGACUUGUGAAGUCGGUUACCCAUGUCACAGUUAAUGACCUAGCUGUUAUGGGACCUGAACAGACGUUGCACCAUUACAAGUUAUGUAAUAGCCCUUAUAAAGCUCAUGUCAACCUUCUAUGACCCUCAGUCACUGUAGUAGGCUUACAAUUGUCAGUAUUUAGCAUUUCUAUGGAGAAAUGAUUGCACAGAUGGCAAUUGGACAAAAACAUGUAUCGUCAGCCUCAUGUGUCAUUCAUACACAGUAACAAACAGUGAAUCCAGCUCAAAAAAGGUUUUAUUCUUCAGCUUGAAAAUGAGAAGUCACACCUAGUGAAGAGGAUCCUUGCGUUUCAGGUAUUGAAAUGCUCAGUAAGACAGCGCAAUAGGACAAAAAUCAGCAACAACUCGAUUCUUUUACAAUGUACCUCCCCUCCAAUAACAAAUUUGUCAACAUUACAGAUGUUAUGCCCUCCCCUCCUUAUAAAUGCAAAGCCAGCAGAAUAGAGCAGAAAGACCAGGAGUCCUGGUCUGAGGCUGGAUGCCGUAGCCUGGGGAUGGAAGUGGUUUAGCUCUGGCCUCCCAGGGUGUGCUUGUCAAACAGGUACUCUGCCAUCUUGUUUUUGACAGCAUCCAUCUUGGUGAGGUUGGUGAUGUGGUCACCCAGCUUCUUAAUGGCCUCCACCUGCUCAUUCAGGUAAUGGGUCUCCAGGAAGUCACACAGCUAAAGAGGGAAAACACAGGUCAGACAAGAGAAUAACUACAGACUAUUGUAGAUACAGUAACACACAAGAGCCUGGUGGUAAUGGCAUAAGGGCAGACAGACAACUCAAUGAAGUGUUUGCAGAUGUUUAACUCCUGCAUUGUUUGUAUAGUGUGCAUCUGUGGACUAUUGUGUGCAUGUGAAGAAGGUCACAAUCCUGUGUCAUUAGUUAUCAGAGCUACAACAACCUGAUCAUCUCCUGGGACAGUACCUGGAUUCUUUGUGAUAUAUACAUGUGAUGUGCAACAAGAGAAUAACUACAGACUAUUGUAGAUACAGUAACACACAAGAGCCUGGUGGUAAUGGCAUAAGUGCAGAGUGUUUCCAGCUUUUUUUAACUAGGCAAGUCAGUUAAGAACAAGUUCUUAUUUACAAUGAGACAAUAACGUGGAACAGUGGGUUAACUGCCUUGUUCAGG
rnacentral:lncRNA from 1 species